AUUGAACGCUGGCGGCAGGCCUAACACAUGCAAGUCGAGCGGAGCGGCGGACGGGGGAGUAAUGCCUAGGAAUCAGCCUGGUAGUGGGGGAUAACGUACGGAAACGGGCGCUAAUACAGCAUCCUAUCAGAUGAGCCUAGGUCGGAUUAGCUAGUUGGGGGGGUAAAGGACUACCCAGGCGACGAUCCGUAACUGGGCUGAGAGGAUGAUCGGUCACACUGGAACGGAACCACGGUCCAGACGCCUACGGGAGGCAGCAGUGGGGAAUAUUGGACAAUGGGCGAAAGCCUGAUCCAGCCAUGCCGCGUGUGUGAAGAAGGUCUUCGGAUUGUAAAGCACGUUCAGUUGGGAGGCGUUACCAACAGAAUAAGCACCGGCUAACUUCGUGCCAGCAGCCGCGGUAAUUC
rnacentral:rRNA from 1 species